rnacentral:rRNA from 1 species
UACCACGAGCCGCCGACGCCGUUGCCUCGACUACCUCGUGCUAGGCUGGUCAAGUUGCCUCCGUCAUCGUGCCCCGUCGCCGUCGUCGUACCUCCCGCAGGCGAACUGACCCUUCUACGCUAUCGCUUCUAUAAUCUAGGUUUCUCACGAGAAAGUCGGUAACUACUUCAAUCAUUCAAAUCCCUCACGGUUCCUUCCAAACCUUAGUCUAAUCGUGUUCUUCGACGCCGCUCUUACCUCGGUUGGGUUACCACCAAAGUUAAACCUCCCCUACAAGGACGUAACGUCUUCACACGUUACUCUUAAACGAGUGUUACACAGAGUAGAUCACCCAUACUCUCCUUGACCUCGCGGAAACGAAACCACGUGUGUUUCGUUUCUUUAGCGGAAAAUAUACUGUUCGAGGUGUUCGAUCAAAGACAGGCGAUGUUGGAUUUCUAUGCACGACUUCUUCUAGUUCUCUUUCUCUCUCUAUAUCUAUUUCUCCAACUAGGUUCACGUAACGACUAUCUAUGUUGUUACAAGCUACUCUGUUUAGGUUAUUACCUCACCGACUUACUCCUACUUCUCCUAGGUUAAAACCUACCUCGGCUACGCCGGUCACGACAAAAACUCUUUUAUUCCGCGGAGUUGAGUUCGUCCUUGUUAAGAAUACAAGCAUGUUUCCGAUUAUUCUUCUUUUCUUUCUCCUUAGUACUACUCCUCUUACUCAUACAGCUUUGACUGUCACUCCUACUGCUGUUGCUCUUACUUAUACAACUAUUACUCUCACUCCUACUACUACCCCACUCACUCCUACUACUCCUACUAGUUGUUCUAGUCGUUCUUUGUGUUUACGUUCACCUUCUUCUCUGUGUUCAUGUUCAACUUUUCCUCUGUGUUCGUUCGUAACCGUUAAACCUCUGAGCAUCUAGACCUGCUGAUCAAUCCUUCUUCUGGUUCCUUUAGUUGUCGGAGAUGAGCAUCUAAACGACCUCGAACCUCGAUCGACCUCGAACCUCUUACUACGAUCAACCUCCGAACCUCGUACCUUCGACCUCGAUCACUACUAAAGAAAACCUCAACAACAAGCAACACUACGAAACUACCAACGGAAAACGACAAGCCACACUACGAAACUACCGACAGAAAACCUCUACAAAGAUGCACUUCAGGAAAUUUAAGGAUCUCAACCAACAUGACUUCAUAAAUUUGAAACUUGAUACUACACUACCAACACCUGACAUUCAAAUCUUGAUUACACUACCAACACCUGACAUUCAAAUAUAACCUGACUGCGAGAAUAAAAUUAGGGAUCUCGAUUAAACGA